rnacentral:rRNA from 1 species
GACGAACGCUGGCGGCGUGCUUAACACAUGCAAGUCGAACGGAAAGGCCCUGCUUUUGUGGGGUGCUCGAGUGGCGAACGGGUGAGUAACACGUGAGUAACCUGCCCUUGACUUUGGGAUAACUUCAGGAAACUGGGGCUAAUACCGGAUAGGAGCUCCUGCUGCAUGGUGGGGGUUGGAAAGUUUCGGCGGUUGGGGAUGGACUCGCGGCUUAUCAGCUUGUUGGUGGGGUAGUGGCUUACCAAGGCUUUGACGGGUAGCCGGCCUGAGAGGGUGACCGGCCACAUUGGGACUGAGGUACGGCCCAGACUCCUACGGGAGGCAACAGUGGGGAAUAUUGCACAAUGGGCGGAAGCCUGAUGCAGCAACGCCGCGUGCGGGAUGACGGCCUUCGGGUUGUAAACCGCUUUCGCCUGUGACGAAGCGUGAGUGGCGGUAAUGGGUAAAGAAGCACCGGCUAACUACGUG